AUGGGAACUUCUUCACAACAUCUCUGCAAAGAAACGACGAUUUCAGGGUUGAAAUAUAUGUCGUUUGUGUCUCAUUUCAUUUUAAAUACGGUUCUCCUACCUACUACUUAACGUACCAAAACGUUUCUUUUUUGUUGUUCCCUUAAAGCAAGCCGAAAAGCUGAAUUCGGAAGCCGAUAAAGAUAGUUGUGCUUCGACUUCAACAAAGAUGGUAUGCGUUUGACAAAGACGAAAGCAAGAGGCUUCCUUAGUUUCCACCCAAUACACCAAAGAAACUGAGUCACCAAUUGUACUUGAAGGUUCAUUUUGGGAUGAUGAAAAAGAAGACAAUGAAAUAGUUAAGUACUUAUGUUAGCGUGCUUAUGUUUGUGUAUUGUGCUUGUGUUGCUCUACAUAAGAUUGAUAAAUAAAUCCAUUUAUUAAGAUUGUAAA